rnacentral:rRNA from 1 species
GAUCCUGGCUCAGAGCGAACGCUGGCGGCAGGCUUAACACAUGCAAGUCGAGCGGGCGUAGCAAUACGUCAGCGGCAGACGGGUGAGUAACACGUGGGAACGUACCUUUUGGUUCGGAACAACUGAGGGAAACUUCAGCUAAUACCGGAUAAGCCCUAACGGGGAAAGAUUUAUCGCCGAAAGAUCGGCCCGCGUCUGAUUAGCUAGUUGGUGAGGUAAUGGCUCACCAAGGCGACGAUCAGUAGCUGGU